rnacentral:lncRNA from 1 species
AUAGCCGAUUCUUGUGUUUUUCUGGGAUAUCCAUUGGGUAAAAGGGGUUACAAGCUGUAUAACUUGAAGAUUAAAAUUACCCUAAUAUCCAUGGAUGUGGUCUUUCAUGAAGAUGUCUUUCCCUUUGCUUCUUCAGGGAAUACCUCCCAUGUUCCUUCUCCUACUCUUAACCCCACUCCUGUUUGGCUUCCUACUACUGAUGAUUCCUUGCACAACACCACUUCCUCACCUUCUUCCACCUAUGAGCCUCUUGCUUCCCCUUCCUUAUCCCCUUCUUCCCUACAAUAAUCCCCUUCAGUGCCUGCAGAACCUGCUCCCAGAAGGUCCAACCGAACUCAUGUUCCUCCUGCUCAUCUCCAACAGUAUGUCUGCAGUCUCCUUCCAUCUCUUUCUGGCCCCAGUUCUUCUUCCACUUGCCUUCACAGUUUGGUUAACAGUGAAGAGUGAGAGCCUACCUCUUAUCAGCAGGCUGCCUUUCUCCCUGAAUGGAAGGAGGCAAUGACAAAGGAGUUUGAAGCCUUGGAAGCUAAUCAUACUUGGUCUAUAGUUCAGCUUCCUCCUGGUAAAAGACCUAUUGGUUGCAAAUGGUCUAUAAGAUCAAGUAUAGGGCUGAUGGGUAUGUGGAAAGAUAUAAAGCUCGAUUGGUUUUUAGGGGUGACACCCAAGUUGAGGGUGUGGAUUUCACUGAAACUUUAUCUCCUGUUGUCAAAUUUUCCACUAUUAAGUCCCUAAUUGUUAUGGCUGUUAAACAGAAUUGGUCUGUUUUUCAAAUUGAUGUGAAUAAUACCUUUUUACAUGGUGAUUUGGAUGAAGAGGUUUAGAUGAGACUGCCUCCUGGGCUGACAGUCAACUGUUCUUCCUCAUCUCCUCCUUUGGUUUGCUUUUUUAAGAAAUCCUUAUACGGUUUGAGACAAGCUUGUAGGCAGUGGUAUGCCAAGCUGUCUCAAGCCUUAUGUUCUAGGGGCUAUUCUUCUUCUUUCAAUGAUUAUUCCUUUUUUCUUAAGAAAUCUGCUUCUUCUAUUUUGUUGUUGGCUGUCUAUGUUGAUGAUAUUAUUCUUACUGGUAAUGAUUUGGAGGAAAUUACUGCCUUGAAGAGUUUCUGGACCUUGAGUUUAAAAUCAAUGACUUGGGAGUUCUCAAUUAUUUUCUUGGAAUUGAAGUCAGUUACCAUUCUGAUGGGCUGCUUCUCCAUCAGAAGAAAUUUAUUACUGACCUUCUCAAGGGAUAUCACUGUGAAGAUGUUACUCCUGUUACUUGUCCUCUUGACCUUUCUGUCAAGCUCAAAAUGGAUGUAGGGGUUGACCUUCUCAAGGGAUAUCACUAUGAAGAUGUUACUAGUGUUACUUGUCCUCUUGACCUUUCUGUCAAGCUCAAAAUGGAUGUAGGUAUCCUCUUUCCUCUCCUAAAUCCUAUUGAAGCCUGGUGGGGAAGCUCAAUUUCCUCACUCACACUAGACCUGACUUGGCCUUUGCUGAACAGUAUCUUAGUCAAUAUCUUCAGAAGCCUACUUCCUCUCACAUGCAUGCAGCCUUGCAUACACUCAAAUAUCUUAGAGAAUCUUCUGAAGUUGGGGUCUUCAUCAGCAACACCCCUGACCUCUCCUUGUCUGCCUAUUGUGAUAGUGACUGGGCUUCCUGCCCAGACACUAGGAGAUCUGUCUCUGGAUUUUGCAUUUUAGAGGUUCUUCUGAAGCUGGGGUCUUCAUCAACAACACCCCUGACCUCUCCUUGUCUGCCUAUUGUGAUAGUGACUGGGUUUUGAGCCCAGACACUAGGAGAUCUGUCUCUGGGUUUUGCAUUCUAUUGGGUGGCUCUCUUAUUGGUUGGAAGGCUAAGAAACAGCAUGUGGUGUCCCUGUCUUUUGCUGAGGCUGAGUACAGGGCCAUCAGUAAAGUUGUUGGUGAGCUCACCUGGCUUGUUAGACUUUUGUCUGAUUUUGGUGUUUUUGUUCCCUCUGCUGUACCUUUUUUCUGUGAUAAUCAGGCAGGACUUCAUAUUGCAAAGAAUUCUGUGUUCCACAAACGCACCAAACACAUUGAAGUGGAUUUCCACUUCAUCAAAACCAAGCUUCAGGAAGGCCUUAUUGCCUUGCAUCAUGUUCCCACUGCCUCUCAGCUUGCUGAUAUCUUUACUAAGCCAUUGAAUGGAAUUCUGCAUCACUCCAUACUGCUCAAGCUGCGGGUUCAAUCACCCUCCACCUUGAAGGGGGCGUUCCUUGACAGGCCUUAUGCAUCAUUCUAUAUUGCUCAAGCUGGGGGUUCAGUCACCCUCCACCUUGAAGAGGGGUGUUGGAGUUAAAGAGCCUGCAGCCCAAGCACUGGACCAGCCCAAGCAAUUCAAGCAGCCUAAGCAGCAAGCCCAUACACACUGAUACACAAUUAUAUUUAUGUUGCCCCAAACAUUGUUUAUAUUCUAGAGAGUUCUAUACAUAUUUUUCGGAUUCUUUUUGCAAAAAGAUAGAUACAGAAAUAGAGAUAGACAGUCGAUUUCCUCUCUCUCUUAUCAUCUCUUCAAUCUCUCACCAUACAUCUCGAUCAAUCAAUGGGAUUCAAUGUUUUCACACUUAGUUUAGGACUGAAAUUCUUCAAAGCUUACUGACCG